rnacentral:pre_miRNA from 1 species
GCAGUUUCUAUCUCUAUUAAUUGUGUUGCCAACUCACCAUUUUGCUGCUGUGGCAGUAGAAUUAAUGAAGGGAGAGAGUGC